GUGGGGAUAGCUCAGUGGUAGAGUGAGUGCUUAGCAUGCACAAGGUCCUGAGUUCAAACCCCAGUACCUCCU
rnacentral:tRNA from 1 species